rnacentral:rRNA from 1 species
UUGGCCUCUGGCUAUUGGGAGUUGUAGCGUAUAGGUGUGACUGUCUGGUUUUUUCGCUCACCCAAAGUCCCCUUGAGUGGGGCUACAGUCCUGAGAAGGUGCGAGACCUGUACGGGUGGUGAGAGAACCGGUAGGUUGCUCCUUGGAGUCGGGUUGCCUGAGAUCGCAGCCCAAAGAGGGUGGUAAACCUCAUCUAAGGCUAAAUACGGCCACGAGACCGAUAGCAAACAAGUACCGUGAGGGAAAGUUGCAAAGAACUUUGAAGAGAGAGUUCAAGAGGGCGUGAAACCGCUGAGAUUGAAACGGAUAGAGUUGACGAAACUUGGCGGCAUUCAGCCUGCUGAUUUAGCGGACUUUCGGUCGCAGUCCUCGAUGAGGGUGCGGACGUUUGUAACUGCCGAGUUGGCUGGUGCAUUUGCCGUCGGUAUGCGCUGAGAGCUUCGCUGUCGCGAGCUGCACCGCGUUCAGAGGGCCACUUCGGUGGAAACCUGUGCGCGGGUAGGUUCGUCGGUGGUGAGGUUUGCUCCUGUCGUCUCCGCUUGUGCGCGCUUGGUGAGCUUUGGUGAGUGGUGUUGUGGGCGGUCGCUUGCGAUCUGUUUACGGCAUUGCUUGUCAGGUUCGGCGGGUGCGUUGAGACGGCUUCUCGGUGUGAAAGUCGACCACCUAUCCGACCCGUCUUGAAACACGGACCAAGGAGUCUAGCAUAUGCGCGAGUCAUUAGGUGGAAAACCUAAAGGCGUAAUGAAAGUAAAGAUCGUGUAAACGGUUGAUAUGGGAUCCGUUCGGUUUCGGCCGGAUGGCGCACCAUAGCCCCGUCCCCGUUGCUUGCAAUAGGGCGGAGGUAGAGCGCAUACGCUGGGACCCGAAAGAUGGUGAACUAUGCCUGAGCAGGAUGAAGCCAGAGGAAACUCUGGUGGAGGUCCGAAGCGGUUCUGACGUGCAAAUCGAUCGUCUGACUUGGGUAUAGGGGCGAAAGACUAAUCG